CGCUGAUCGUCAUGUAAGUAUCGCGUAGGUCUUUGUAAUGAACGACCCUGAAAAAUGUAGUAGAAAUGUGAUCGCGUUGCACCUGGUCCUUUGCCGAGUUCGGAAAGCAGAGACGUCGUACUCACUUCAAGGCGUAAGUCGUUGAAUCAGUUCCAGUUGAUCGACCAACGGAGGUGCCGCAGGAUCUGGCCUUGCUCUUUGCUUUCGAAUAGUAUCGGGGACUUCAUCCCGUGAUGGUUCGUGUGCUACCCAUCGAAUGAAUAAUAAAUUCUUAUAAUAUAUUCUUCAAUUAUACGUGUAUUGACACGUUGACGCCGGCGUGCAUCACCGGUGGGUCAUGGUUGCCCCUACCACGGAUGUCGCGCCGCCCCACCACACGGACAGUGAGAUCGAGCGCCGCCUCGCGUCGCAGCAACGAA